rnacentral:lncRNA from 1 species
CGGCCAGAGGCUCCGACUUGGCCCCGGCGCUGCACCGGCCUGCGGUCCCUGUGUGUGGGCCUCGGUUUCCACGGGAGGUUGAGUGCAUUCUGCUGUGCGACCCUCUGGGGGCGGCAGGGGGCGCCCCCGGCCCACGGGAACGCGCUCGGGGGGACAAAGAGGGUGCGCGACAGCCAGAAGCAGCUCUGACAGGGCCACCGGCUCAGCCUAGUGUUGGGGACACAGGUCAGUGGAGCCCAGAAAUCCCACUGGGCCCUGGAAACGCAGAUGUGACAAUGGACAAGAUCCAUCUGAAAGUUUUGAAGAGAAUAAAGGAGGAGUAAAGAUGUAUAUCAAAGAAACUGGAUGUGGCUCUACCCUAGAGAAUAAGAGAAUCUUCCUGAAGAACUUCCCAAAUAAAAUACCUUGUUUUUCUUCGUGGAAUCUGAUC